rnacentral:rRNA from 1 species
AUUGAACGCUGGCGGCAGGCCUAACACAUGCAAGUCGAGCGGAUGAAGGGAGCUUGCUCCUGGAUUCAGCGGCGGACGGGUGAGUAAUGCCUAGGAAUCUGCCUGGUAGUGGGGGAUAACGUCCGGAAACGGGCGCUAAUACCGCAUACGUCCUGAGGGAGAAAGUGGGGGAUCUUCGGACCUCACGCUGUCAGAUGAGCCUAGGUCGGAUUAGCUAGUUGGUGGGGUAAAGGCCUACCAAGGCGACGAUCCGUAACUGGUCUGAGAGGAUGAUCAGUCACACUGGAACUGAGACACGGUCCAGACUCCUACGGGAGGCAGCAGUGGGGAAUAUUGGACAAUGGGCGAAAGCCUGAUCCAGCCAUGCCGCGUGUGUGAAGAAGGUCUUCGGAUUGUAAAGCACUUUAAGUUGGGAGGAAGGGCAGUAAGUUAAUACCUUGCUGGUUUGACGUUACCAACAGAAUAAGCACCGGCUAACUUCGUG